rnacentral:rRNA from 1 species
UCCCUAGUAACUGCGAGUGAAGCGGGAAAAGCUCAAAUUUAAAAUCUGGUAGCCUCUGGCUAUCCGAGUUGUAAUCUAGAGAAGCAUUUAUCCGCGCUGGACCGUGUACAAGUCUCCUGGAACGGAGCGUCAUAGAGGGUGAGAAUCCCGUCUUUGACACGGACUUACCAGGGCUUUUGUGAUGUGCUCUCGAAGAGUCGAGUUGUUUGGGAAUGCAGCUCUAAAUGGGUGGUAAAUUCCAUCUAAAGCUAAAUAUUGGCGAGAGACCGAUAGCGAACAAGUACCGUGAGGGAAAGAUGAAAAGAACUUUGGAAAGAGAGUUAAACAGUACGUGAAAUUGUUGAAAGGGAAACGCUUGAAGUCAGUUGCGUCUAUUGGGGGUCAGCCUUGCUCUUUUGCUUGGUGUAUUUCCUGAUGGGACGGGUCAGCAUCAAUUUUGACCAAUGGAAAAAGGUCAUGGGAAUGUGGCAUCUUUUUGGAUGUAUUAUAGCCCUUGAUUGCAUACAUUGGUUGGGAUUGAGGAACUCAGCACGCCCGAAAAGGGUCGGGUCAUUGACCACGUUCGUGCUUAGGAUGCUGGCAUAAU